rnacentral:rRNA from 2 species
GGGUUGUGAGGUUAAGCGACUAAGCGUACACGGUGGAUGCCCUGGCAGUCAGAGGCGAUGAAGGACGUGCUAAUCUGCGAUAAGCGUCGGUAAGGUGAUAUGAACCGUUAUAACCGGCGAUUUCCGAAUGGGGAAACCCAGUGUGAUUCGUCACACUAUCAUUAACUGAAUCCAUAGGUUAAUGAGGCGAACCGGGGGAACUGAAACAUCUAAGUACCCCGAGGAAAAGAAAUCAACCGAGAUUCCCCCAGUAGCGGCGAGCGAACGGGGAGCAGCCCAGAGCCUGAAUCAGUGUGUGUGUUAGUGGAAGCGUCUGGAAAGGCGUGCGAUACAGGGUGACAGCCCCGUACACAAAAAUGCACAUGCUGUGAGCUCGAUGAGUAGGGCGGGACACGUGGUAUCCUGUCUGAAUAUGGGGGGACCAUCCUCCAAGGCUAAAUACUCCUGACUGACCGAUAGUGAACCAGUACCGUGAGGGAAAGGCGAAAAGAACCCCGGCGAGGGGAGUGAAAAAGAACCUGAAACCGUGUACGUACAAGCAGUGGGAGCACAGAGCAAUCUGUGUGACUGCGUACCUUUUGUAUAAUGGGUCAGCGACUUAUAUUCUGUAGCAAGGUUAACCGAAUAGGGGAGCCGAAGGGAAACCGAGUCUUAACUGGGCGUUAAGUUGCAGGGUAUAGACCCGAAACCCGGUGAUCUAGCCAUGGGCAGGUUGAAGGUUGGGUAACACUAACUGGAGGACCGAACCGACUAAUGUUGAAAAAUUAGCGGAUGACUUGUGGCUGGGGGUGAAAGGCCAAUCAAACCGGGAGAUAGCUGGUUCUCCCCGAAAGCUAUUUAGGUAGCGCCUCGUGAAUUCAUCUCCGGGGGUAGAGCACUGUUUCGGCAAGGGGGUCAUCCCGACUUACCAACCCGAUGCAAACUGCGAAUACCGGAGAAUGUUAUCACGGGAGACACACGGCGGGUGCUAACGUCCGUCGUGAAGAGGGAAACAACCCAGACCGCCAGCUAAGGUCCCAAAGUCAUGGUUAAGUGGGAAACGAUGUGGGAAGGCCCAGACAGCCAGGAUGUUGGCUUAGAAGCAGCCAUCAUUUAAAGAAAGCGUAAUAGCUCACUGGUCGAGUCGGCCUGCGCGGAAGAUGUAACGGGGCUAAACCAUGCACCGAAGCUGCGGCAGCGACGCUUAUGCGUUGUUGGGUAGGGGAGCGUUCUGUAAGCCUGCGAAGGUGUGCUGUGAGGCAUGCUGGAGGUAUCAGAAGUGCGAAUGCUGACAUAAGUAACGAUAAAGCGGGUGAAAAGCCCGCUCGCCGGAAGACCAAGGGUUCCUGUCCAACGUUAAUCGGGGCAGGGUGAGUCGACCCCUAAGGCGAGGCCGAAAGGCGUAGUCGAUGGGAAACAGGUUAAUAUUCCUGUACUUGGUGUUACUGCGAAGGGGGGACGGAGAAGGCUAUGUUGGCCGGGCGACGGUUGUCCCGGUUUAAGCGUGUAGGCUGGUUUUCCAGGCAAAUCCGGAAAAUCAAGGCUGAGGCGUGAUGACGAGGCACUACGGUGCUGAAGCAACAAAUGCCCUGCUUCCAGGAAAAGCCUCUAAGCAUCAGGUAACAUCAAAUCGUACCCCAAACCGACACAGGUGGUCAGGUAGAGAAUACCAAGGCGCUUGAGAGAACUCGGGUGAAGGAACUAGGCAAAAUGGUGCCGUAACUUCGGGAGAAGGCACGCUGAUAUGUAGGUGAAGUCCCUCGCGGAUGGAGCUGAAAUCAGUCGAAGAUACCAGCUGGCUGCAACUGUUUAUUAAAAACACAGCACUGUGCAAACACGAAAGUGGACGUAUACGGUGUGACGCCUGCCCGGUGCCGGAAGGUUAAUUGAUGGGGUUAGCGCAAGCGAAGCUCUUGAUCGAAGCCCCGGUAAACGGCGGCCGUAACUAUAACGGUCCUAAGGUAGCGAAAUUCCUUGUCGGGUAAGUUCCGACCUGCACGAAUGGCGUAAUGAUGGCCAGGCUGUCUCCACCCGAGACUCAGUGAAAUUGAACUCGCUGUGAAGAUGCAGUGUACCCGCGGCAAGACGGAAAGACCCCGUGAACCUUUACUAUAGCUUGACACUGAACAUUGAGCCUUGAUGUGUAGGAUAGGUGGGAGGCUUUGAAGUGUGGACGCCAGUCUGCAUGGAGCCGACCUUGAAAUACCACCCUUUAAUGUUUGAUGUUCUAACGUUGACCCGUGAUCCGGGUUGCGGACAGUGUCUGGUGGGUAGUUUGACUGGGGCGGUCUCCUCCUAAAGAGUAACGGAGGAGCACGAAGGUUGGCUAAUCCUGGUCGGACAUCAGGAGGUUAGUGCAAUGGCAUAAGCCAGCUUGACUGCGAGCGUGACGGCGCGAGCAGGUGCGAAAGCAGGUCAUAGUGAUCCGGUGGUUCUGAAUGGAAGGGCCAUCGCUCAACGGAUAAAAGGUACUCCGGGGAUAACAGGCUGAUACCGCCCAAGAGUUCAUAUCGACGGCGGUGUUUGGCACCUCGAUGUCGGCUCAUCACAUCCUGGGGCUGAAGUAGGUCCCAAGGGUAUGGCUGUUCGCCAUUUAAAGUGGUACGCGAGCUGGGUUUAGAACGUCGUGAGACAGUUCGGUCCCUAUCUGCCGUGGGCGCUGGAGAACUGAGGGGGGCUGCUCCUAGUACGAGAGGACCGGAGUGGACGCAUCACUGGUGUUCGGGUUGUCAUGCCAAUGGCACUGCCCGGUAGCUAAAUGCGGAAGAGAUAAGUGCUGAAAGCAUCUAAGCACGAAACUUGCCCCGAGAUGAGUUCUCCCUGACUCCUUGAGAGUCCUGAAGGAACGUUGAAGACGACGACGUUGAUAGGCCGGGUGUGUAAGCGCAGCGAUGCGUUGAGCUAACCGGUACUAAUGAACCGUGAGGCUUAACCUUACAACGCCGAAG